CGAGUAUUUGGUGAUGAAUUCCUUCUGAAAUCCAGGGGCAGAGGGGAAUUUGUAAGCAAUUCAACGUGGCGGAGCCAAGCAGAGGUUCUGACUUCAGUGUUAAGAUGGUGGUGGUUGUCUGUCAUGUCCAACAUUGACGGGGAACCUGUGUGGGAGAGUUUUUAAAGUGGAAAAUUCUUUGCACUGGGCCAGUUCCACUCUCUCGACUGAGAGGAAGCUACUGACGUGAUGAAGGAAGGGCCGAGCACCGUCAGAGAUGGAGGUCCUUCAUAGCCGCCCUAAACACCAGCAGCGUAAUGGGCAGCAAUUAAGUAUAAGAGAUACUUGCUAUAAAUAAACAUUUGCUUUGCUGAGAAGAUUGAGGCACCAGGUUUACACUGGAAUGACUGAACAUAUCUGUAAUGUGGCAGCAAAUGGUGGGAGUGGCAGAUUGCCACAGCUGGUAGAGCCACUGCCUCACAGUGCCAGAGACUAGGGUUCAAUCCUUAGCAAGGGUACGGUCCAUGUGGAGCCUGUGACUGUAUGGGUUUCCAAACAGAGCCCAAAGAUGUGUUUGUUGGCAGGCUAAUUGGUUGUAUGAUUCCCAAUGCCUAGUUGAGGGUAGAGUUGGGAAGGAGGGUACAAUGUACAGAGUAAAUUUAAUUAUCAAACUACAUACUGUAAAUGUCACCAUAUACAACCCUGAGAUUCACUUCCUUGAGGGCUUACUCAGCAAAUCAGUAGAAUAGUAACUAUCUCCAAACUAGGGGUUUCAAUUGGAGUGCAGAAGACAACAAACUGUGCAACUGCAAAAAGAAGAAACAAUAAUGUUAAUAAAUAAGCAAUAAAUAUCAAGAACAUGAGAUGAAGAGUCCUUCAAAGCGAAUCCAAUGGUUGUUGGAAUAUUUCAUUGAUGGGGCAAGUGAAGUUAUCGCCCUUGGUUCAAGAGCCUGAUGGUUGAGGGGUAGUAAUUGUUCGUGAAUGUGGUGGUGUAAGUCCUGAGGCUCUUGUACUUCUUCCUGAUGACAGCAGUGUGAAGAGAGCUUGACCUGGAUGGAGGGGGUCCCUGAUGAUGGAUGCUGCUUUCUUGCCACCGCCUUUCAUGUAGAUGAGCUCAGUGGUGGGGAGGGUUUUACCCUUGAUGGACUGGGCCGAAUCCCCUACUUUUUGAAUGAUUUUCCUUUGGUGGGCAUUGGAGUUUCCAUAUCAGACUGUGAUGCAGCAAGUCAAUAUACUGUCCAGUACAAGUCAUAGAUGUUGUGCCAAGGCCCUCUAUACCUUGGACUGAGUCAUGUCAUCUGCAGAAAUUCUUCGAUGACUCGGCAAUAGUUGGGUAAAUAAAGGGAGGGUGGGAGGAUGAAUACAGGGUUCUGGUGGGAGGACUUUGUCAAAUGGUGCAAGCUGAAUCAUUUGCAACUCAACAUUAGUAAGACUAUUCUGGGCAUGUUUCUUUUAUCCCUUUGUUUCAAGGCAGGUUAGACGAUGAAGUCUGAGACUGGGUAAACAGAACACAGAGGGACAGGGAAUUAAUGAGGUUAAAUGGGAGGAAAACAAUAAACUUUAUGGUCAGCACAGUCAUGAUGGGCCAAAGGGCCUGUGUCCCUGCUGUACAAAUUUGUCAAAAAUUCAUUAUAGCUUAUUUCCAUAAAUAGAAAGUGAGGUGUGGGGAAGAAAUGGAAAUGUCUGAAUCACUCCUUGAAUGACCCAGGGGAUAGGCAAAAUGUCCUGUGUCUUUGUGUCCACUUGUGUCUUUAUGAAACAAGUCGGUCCAUACAUAGGCCCAGAUCUCAACACUCACUCUUCAUCCUUUUGAAUAGGUUCUGACUUCAGCGUUAAAACUGUGGUAGUUGUCUGUCAUGUCUGUGGCCUGUGUGGGAGAGCUUUAAAAGUGGAAAAGCCUUUGCACUGGGGCAGUUCCACUCUCUCAUCCUCAGAAAUCCAGGUCCAGUGGUACGGACAAACAUCACAAACUGGGGUCUUCCUUGGUCGCAGUGGAUGACCGUGACAUCUCCUGUGUCUUGUCAUGUCCUUCGCUCUCCACAGAGCGUUGUAGAACCGCCUUCCUGGCCGUUGGAUCUCCCCACAUAUCUCAUCCACCCAGACUGCCAGAGCUGGUUUUGCAUGCUGGGACAGCCAUGUCCUCAUCUCACUGGGGUAUGAGGCCUGCUGGCUACCCUCACCUGGUUUAGCCCACCUGUCAAAGCAGUGUAUUGGAAUGUGGUCACUACUUGGAGCCACAGGUGACAGCUUAGUGUCUGGUGGGGACCAAAGGUGAAUGAGCUACCCCAGAAUGGACUUUACCAGAGGUACUACCCCUUCCCUGGAUACUCCAUAUUCCCCAUUAGAACUGUAAGGGUUGUAAGAUGAUUUCAGCGUAUUAAAAUUAUGAGCUAAAAUGGUAAGGAGAUAAUUCUGAACAAUAAUUUUUUUUUUCAAAAGUGUUGCUUCCUCUGAUUUUUUUUGUUUAUGAUAGACUGUGUAAAGCUGAACACAAAUAUAAUUUCAGACGACUGGUAUCACACAGGAAUUUGGAGAAACAAGAAAUUAACUUUUAUUGAAUAAAAUGUGUUUAAUUGCA